rnacentral:rRNA from 1 species
GACGAACGCUGGCGGCGUGCCUAAUACAUGCAAGUAGAACGCUGAAGAGAGGAGCUUGCUCUUCUUGGAUGAGUUGCGAACGGGUGAGUAACGCGUAGGUAACCUGCCUUGUAGCGGGGGAUAACUAUUGGAAACGAUAGCUAAUACCGCAUAACAAUAGGUGACACAUGUCAUUUAUUUGAAAGGGGCAAUUGCUCCACUACAAGAUGGACCUGCGUUGUAUUAGCUAGUAGGUGAGGUAACGGCUCACCUAGGCGACGAUACAUAGCCGACCUGAGAGGGUGAUCGGCCACACUGGGACUGAGACACGGCCCAGACUCCUACGGGAGGCAGCAGUAGGGAAUCUUCGGCAAUGGGGGCAACCCUGACCGAGCAACGCCGCGUGAGUGAAGAAGGUUUUCGGAUCGUAAAGCUCUGUUGUAAGUCAAGAACGAGUGUGAGAGUGGAAAGUUCACACUGUGACGGUAGCUUACCAGAAAGGGACGGCUAACUAUGUG